UGAAAAUAGCCUGCUUAUUCAGUCGAGUCUGUUUCCGUUUAUUUGUAGCCAAUAUACGUCACAUUUAGAAUUAAUGAUAAUAGCUCUAUUUUUAUAAAAGCUCCCGAACAAAAAACAUACGUGGAGCUAAACUCUCGAGACGAGACUUAUGACAGAUAAUAUAAGUUACUAAAUAAAUACACAAUUGUGAUGGAGAAUAAGAAGCUGAUGUCUGAUUUCUUCAAGUGGUUGCAUUUACCAUGUUUACUAUGGUAAUGUUAAUGUCUAGCGUGCACAUUCUUUUGCAUCGCUUAUAAAUAUUUCUGCCUUGUUUAGUGAUUAUAAUUCACAUCGGAUCAAAUUAUUUCAAACACAUGCUUCUGACUGAAAGUGAGUUUUGAGUUCAACUUAUUAAAAAAAGUUUUUAAUGCUGGUUUUAUAGCUGUUAGCUUUUAUGAAAUGAUCCGCAGCGCAGACGCUCUCUAUUUUUAUAAAAGCUCCCGAACAAAAAUCAUUAUUAUAUUUUGAUGACGUGCUACGCGGAGCUAAACUCUCGAGAUGAGACUUAUGACAGAUAAAAUAUGUUACUAAAUAAAUACACAAUUGUGAUAGAGAAUAAGAAGCUGACCUCUGAUUUCUUCAAGCGGUCACAUUUACCAUGUUUAUUAUGGUAACGUUAAUGUUUAGCGUGCAUAGUCUUUUACAUCGCUUAUAAAUAUUUCUGCCUUUUAUGAUGAUUAUAAUCCACAUCGGAUCACGUUAUUUCAAACACUCGCUGCUGACUGAAAGUGAGUUUUGAGCUCAGCUUAUUUUAAAAGUGUUUAAUGCUGGUGUUAUAGCUGUUAUCUUUCUGAAAUGAAGGGCGCUGACACUCCAGACGCGAAGAAACUCUGCCUUUGUUUAUAACCACUCCUCAGCCCCAGUUGGCCUGCUUUGGCCCAAGGUUUUCGUCGGGCCAAAAAACCCUGGCCGUUGGCCCAGAGGAAGCCCCGACGAGGCACGAUCAAGCCCCGGAAGUGACAGUGGAAACGCGACUGGCCCUGGCACACACUAGCACGUCCGCUUUAAGCCCGACACUGGAAACGCGGCUACUGAGGCUUCAAGCCGCCAGACCUGUUCCCUCUGCUGUGUUUUUUGUUUUUCAAGAGGAUAUUUUUAUUUUUAUAGAAUUUUAAUGUUUUGUGUAACAAAGUGCUUUCUGUGUUCAGGUUUGAAUGUAGUAAUAAUAAUGCAAAAGAAAAAAAAAAACUACACUUCAAAUCAACAUUUUAAACAACAAAAAAUAUAAAUCUUGACAAAAAGUAGUCUUUGAGAAUGCCUUAAUAUACAUUUUAAUCCACAACCUAAUAAAAGUAAACAAUUAUGUAUAAAAACAACAAGGGAAUUCACAAGCCUCUCUAUAGAGUCCUAUACAGGAAUCUAGUGGUUACACCAUGAAAUUACAUUCUUUUUUUGCUCUCACCAGGAGGUGCUAUUCUGCCUUCUAAAAUUGGAUUGAAAAUGCCUAGUCUCUAUUUUAAUCUGAAAUACUGCAUUAAUUGAAAUAUAUAUAUAUAUAUGUAUAUAUAUAAGUUUUUUUGUACUAUUUUCAAUGGGAAAAAAAUUAUCAUAAUUAUUGCAUAAAUAUUAAUUAGUACCAUGAAAUUAUCUCAAAAUACAAAAGAAAAAAUGUUAUUGAACAAAAAUAUAUUACAUUGAUUUUACUGAAGGAAAAAAAAAAAGUUACAUUUCAGGUGUCCGGUCACUAUUGAC
ensembl:lncRNA